rnacentral:siRNA from 1 species
AAGUUGUCUAACUUGAUUCUAAGC